rnacentral:rRNA from 1 species
GUUGAUAAGGUUAAGUGAAUAAGGGCGCACGGUGGAUGCCUUGGCACUAGGAGCCGAUGAAGGACGGGACUAACACCGAUAUGCUUUGGGGAGCUGUACGUAAG